AGCGGAUAUAGCAAUAUAUUAGCGGCGAACGGGUGAGUAAUACAUGGGUAACCUACCUCUAAGUUGGGGAUAACAUGCCGAAAGGCAUGCUAAUACCGAAUGUGUCCAACAAUUCACAAGGAUGGUUGGGUAAAGUAGCAAUACGCUUAGAGAUGGGCCCAUGGCUGAUUAGCUUGUUGGUAGGGUAAUGGCCUACCAAGGCGACGAUCAGUAGCCGGCCUGAGAGGGUGAACGGCCACAAUGGAACUGCGACACGGUCCAUACUCC
rnacentral:rRNA from 1 species